rnacentral:rRNA from 1 species
GACGAACGCUGGCGGCGUGCUUAACACAUGCAAGUCGAACGGAAAGGCCCUGGUUUUGUGGGGUGCUCGAGUGGCGAACGGGUGAGUAACACGUGAGUAACCUGCCCUUGACUUUGGGAUAACUUCAGGAAACUGGGGCUAAUACCGGAUAGGAGCUCCUGCUGCAUGGUGGGGGUUGGAAAGUUUCGGCGGUUGGGGAUGGACUCGCGGCUUAUCAGCUUGUUGGUGGGGUAGUGGCUUACCAAGGCUUUGACGGGUAGACGGCCUGAGAGGGUGACCGGCCACAUUUAAACUGAGAUACGCCCCAGACUCCUACUGGAACCAGCAGUGAGGAAUAGUGCACAAUGGACGGAAGCCUGAUGCAGCAACACCACGUGCGGGAUGACGGCCUUCGGGUUGUAAACCGCUUUCGCCUGUGACGAAGCGUAAGUAACGGUAAUCGGUAAAGAAGCACCGGCUAACUACGUG